AUACUUACCUGGCAUAGGCGGACAAUGAUCAAUAAGGUUGUCCUCCCAGGUCGAGGCUCGUCCAUUGCAGUUAGGGCGGGCUGAAGCCUGCGACCACCCCAAAUGUGGGUGCCUCGGAUGCAUAAUUUUUGCGUAUGGGGACUGCGUACGCGCUAUCCCGUA